AGGGCGGCAUCAUCCCCGAGCUGCACCGCGUUCAACAAGUUUAAACGCAUUCACAUAAGACAAACACUGCCUUGAUCCGGAUGGACAGGGACAGAGGG
rfam:Domibacillus enclensis strain NIO-1016 genome assembly, contig: Ga0061089_101